rnacentral:tRNA from 1 species
AAUUAAAUAGUUUAUUUAAAAUAUCGGUUUGUGGUGCCGGGGAAAAUUUUUUUAUUUUUAGUUA